CUUCUAAUUUUGAGACAGAUUGAACAAUUGGAAAGUAUGAUCAGCUUUAGAAAAUUAAAAUGGAAAAUUAUCAGAACGGAAGAAUGAACCAUUUUCAUCCAUGACUUCACAUGGACUGUUUGAGUAUAGAGCCAGGUGAAAUUGAAUUGUGAAUGAAAGUAUCUAGAAAUCCCAGAUGAGACUUUUAAAUCCAAGUAAGUUUGAAGCCACUUGAACUUUUCUAAGAUUCACUCCAGCAGCUUAUUUGCACUGAACACAGAAGUCUGAGGCAAGAAUGAGAAGAGACUAAAAUGCACCAUAGGUCUAAGCCAGAAGCUUUGAACUCAGAUAGAGGGCUGUCAGUUUGGCACAGCUGGGAGAAAGUGGAGUGCAGCAGUUCUAAAUCUUUGGGACUUUGGUGAAGGAUUAUUAUGAAACACCUGUAGAACACCAGUCAGUAGCUGGAAUCAUCAGCUUCACUAUAUAAAAGCAACAUUAAGCAAGGAGAAAAGUAUCAUCU
ensembl:lncRNA